GAGAAAUCCUAUAAACUCAUGGCUGACUCCACGUCUUCUAUGAGUCUGUUUUUCUUUAUCCAGUGUUAAAUUUUUAUGGUCUUGGGUGAUAACUUUAAAGGCCUAUCUUGAAAUCGAAUUUUCGCUUUUCUGAUUUGCUCUCAUAAGAGGAAAUGCCAUGUCUUUCCUUUUUCACGUGUGAAAAAGAAGAAGAAGAAGAAGAAGAAAAACAAACCUUUUGCGGGUCCCAGAGCUGAGAGAGGUCUGCUGCUCUGGCUGCACCUGAGUGCCAGCUCAGAUUAGGAAACCCCCGGAGGGCUCAGUUUCACCGAGCCUGGAAAUGGGAUGGUGAGCUGCUGUCUGCCUACGUGUACAGAGCAGAGUCCGGCUGUUCGUCUGUCUCAUCUCUUAGCCAUCAAAGUGGACUCCAACACCAGUUUAUGUGUGGCGAGCUCAAUGCUGGCGAGAGAAAGAUGGAAGACAUUCCCUGCCCUCUCGAUGUUCCCUGUGCCAUUGAGAAGUUAGAUGACACCUGAGUAGCUACUGCGAACACCUGCCGAUUAUUCUGUCCCCCUACCCUGUCCUACUGCCUGCUGCCAGGAAGGUCUUUCUCCUUUCCCGUUUCCCCUGCCACGUCCUUGGGAGGAACUGAACAGCUCCUGCCCCGAUUCAGGAUGAAGGCUCUCGACGCUGGACUUCCUGUCCUGACGCCGGCCUUCCUUCUGCAUAUGCUCCAGCCCUGAACCAUCGGGGCCUCCGCGUCUCUGCUUCUAAGAGAAUUGGACAGCGUGUGUGUUUGCUCAUUCUGCUGUUAAAUGAAGAAUUCCUCUUUGCCACUGGUCACAGGCAGCUUGAUUUUUCUGAGGCUUUGUGUAGUCUUCCCAUGUUUCUUUUUCUGAAAUUCGUUCAUCCAUUCAUUCAUUUUAUCUGUGGUUGUCUUGGGUCUUCCUUCCCGCAAGCCCGCUUUUUCCAGCUGCUGUCGGGCGGGGCC